UUUCCUGGAUCUCCCUGGAUGGCAGAGAUGCUGGAGGAGAAGAGAAAGAGAAGAAAGGCCUUAGCACAUCCCUUAAAUUCUCCGUGAAACUGGUCUUAAUGUUGCUGAAUGCUUAAAAGGCAAAGAUGUGGUUGAACACAGAAGGAGGAAACAUCACAUAUUCUUUGGUUGCACUUCCACAAGUGGAUACGUGUAUAGCCUUGGGCAGCUGGCUCCAGCAGAAUCCAAGAGAAUUCACUCAGGUUGCACUGCUGUGAUCACAUCCAGCAGUCUGACAAUACCUUAAUGAACUCUGGCCUUAAGCUCCGACUCUGACAACACACCAAAACGUAAUAAUUCUUGAGGAAUGACUAUGGGUGAAUGGAAUAAUAAAGGAAUGAUUGAGGGUGAGCUUGCAAUUCCAAAUAUUUCUGCAGGCAUUUGUCCCAGGGACUUGGCAUGGAUCACAUGCAGCCCAAGUGCUCACAG